rnacentral:lncRNA from 1 species
UGGGUAUAUUCACUGCAAAUCCUCACGAGACACAAUUCGUCCACUUGGGGUAACCUUGUGGUUUAAAGGCUUGUUGCACAUGCUAAGUGCAAUCGUGUUUCCUACGACAACGGGGUAAUAUAAUUUUUUUGUUUUAUUUUAUUUUCUUUUUAUUUUACUUGAGGACGAGCAAAAGAUAGGUAUGGGGGUAUUUGAUAUACACAUUUUUUAUACAUUUUAAUAUUCCCAUAUUUAUUAUUUUAUAUGCUUAUUUUAUUUAACCAAUAUAUUUUAUUUUGUUUUGUAGGAGAUAACAUUUGUUUUUCUUGGGUAGCAAAUAAAUGAUUUAUAUCUAACCUUUAAAGAUAAAAAAGGACUCUUAGAGGAUUACUAUAUAAAGAUGGAAGUCAAGAAGGAAAGAAGAGGAAAAGAGGGAACAAAAAUGUCCGAGUUCAAUGAACCUAAAUUAUGGCACAAAUGUAUUCUCCCUAUAAAUAAGUCUCUUGUUUUAGAGAGAAGGACACCAUUUGUUUUUUUUCCCUUAGUUUUUUCGCUGGUGUAGAAGGGAGUAAGAUAUUUAGAGCUUUUGUUUUUUCUCUUAUUCCAAGCAUGUGUGG